rnacentral:tRNA from 1 species
UGGGCCCAUACCCCGAAAAUGUUGGUAUAAACCCCUUCCUAUACUA